rnacentral:rRNA from 1 species
UAGGGAAUCUUCCGCAAUGGACGCAAGUCUGACGGAGCAACGCCGCGUGAGUGAAGAAGGAUUUCGGUUCGUAAAACUCUGUUGUUAGAGAAGAACAGCGCAUAGAGUAACUGUUAUGCGUGUGACGGUAUCUAACCAGAAAGCCACGGCUAACUACGUGCCAGCAGCCGCGGUAAUACGUAGGUGGCAAGCGUUGUCCGGAUUUAUUGGGCGUAAAGCGAGCGCAGGCGGUCAAUUAAGUCUGAUGUGAAAGCCCCCGGCUCAACCGGGGAGGGUCAUUGGAAACAGGUUGACUUGAGUGCAGAAGAGGAGAGUGGAAUUCCAUGUGUAGCGGUGAAAUGCGUAGAUAUAUGGAGGAACACCAGUGGCGAAGGCGACUCUCUGGUCUGUAACUGACGCUGAGGAUCGAAAGCGUGGGUAGCAAACAGG